CUCUGUUGUCGCCGCCUCAGUUAAAGUUAAGAUUGGUCUCUUUGGAAGCUUGAGGAUUUAAAGUGAUGAAUUUUUCAUCAAGGAUAAGAGGAUUUUCCAACCUCCAUCUGAGUAACCUUGGAUCAAGUUAAUUGGAGAAUUUUACUGUCAACUAAGGAGUACCUUUGUUUGGCUAAAAUCUCCAGGCGAAGGUAAAGGUAGAGGAAAGCUGGCGAGCGACAGAGAAGGAUCCGUGACAUGCCAUAUGGGGACUCAGUUUUGCUUCCGCGUCUAUGUUUCAAUGUUUUAAUAUUCCAUUUUUAAUGAAAAUUUAUUCUUCCCUCGUUUCAAAAAAAGUGUCUCUUGUCAUCGUUCCGUUUUAGUAACGACCUCAGCUUAGUAUAAAGAGUUGGGUCGUUACAGUUGGUAUCAGAGCGUCAGCUUUUAGGUUCUGUAGACUAACUUACGAUGUGAGUCUCUGAUUUUGUCUCUAUAUAUGGCUAUUACGGUCCUUCGUCACUCGCCAGGUAUGUAUUUUAUGAUACAUGAUUAUGAAUAUGCACGUGACCUUGCCUGUAUUAAACUAGAACUGCAUGAAUGUUAUGAUUUAAUGGUGAUGGCUUUGGUGGUAAAGUUUUAAGAAAAAUGUUGGCACGUAAAGAUGCUCAAAGGGGUGAUUGAGUAGGCAAAAGA